rnacentral:snRNA from 1 species
AAAUGUGAGGGCAAUCUUGCUAUGACAUGUCACCCCACUGAUUGCCAGGGUUAAUUCCACUGGCUGGCUAGGUGGGUGACCCCUUCUUCCUCACUGCUCCAUGUGCAUCCCUCCUGAAGCUGCAUGCGCUUGGUCAAAGAAAAUGACCAUCCCCCAUAAAGGAGGACCGUUCUUUGGUCAAGGAUAUACGAGUAGCUGUGCUCCUCUGCUAGAACCUCCAAACAAGCUCUCCAAACAAAAUCCAGCUAUAGACUUCAUCCAAAUACGUUGCAUAUACUGGAGAUAUAUCUAAUC